rnacentral:lncRNA from 1 species
AACUUGGACUGUAUUCCCUUGUUCUCCAGGUGGGCGCCUGACUGCUAAAACUUGAACUAUUUUUCCUUGUUUUCCAGGUGGGCACCUGAUUUCCAAAACAUGAAAUGUAUUCCCUAGUUCUCCAGAUGGGCGCCUGAUUGCCGAAUCUUAGACUUUAUUCCCUUGUUCUCCAGGUGGGAGCCUGAUUGCCAAAACUUUAACUGUAUUCCCUUGUUUUCCAAGUGGGUACCUGAAUGCCAAAACUUUAAUUGUAUUCCCUUGAUCUCUAGGUGGUCGCAUAAUUGCCAAAACUUGAACAGGAUUCUCUUGUUCUCCAGGUGGGCACCUGUUUGCUAAAACUUGAACUGUAUUCCCUUGUUCUCCAGGUGGGCGUCUGACUGCUAAAACGUGAACUGUAUUCCCUUUUUCUCCAAGUGGGCGCCUGAUUGCUAAUACUUAAACUAUAUUCCCUUGUUUUCCAGGUGGAGGCAUGAUUUCCAAAACUUGAAAUGUAAUCCCUUGUUCUCUAGGUGGGCGCCUGAUUGCUAAAACUUGAACUGUAUUCCCUUGUUAUCCAGGUGGGCUCCUGAUUGCUAAAACUUGAAUUGUAUUCCUUCAUUUUGCAGGGGGGCACCUGAUUGGUAAAACUUGAACUGUAUUCCCUUGUUCUCCAGGUGGGCGCCUGAUUGCCAAAACUUGAACUGUAUUUUCUUGUUCUUUAGGUGGGUGCCUAAUUGCAAAAAAUUGAACUGUAUUCCCUUGUUCUCUAGGUGGGCGCCUGAUUGCUAAAACUUGAAAUGUAUUCCAUUGUUCUCCAGGUGGGCGUCUGAAUGCUAAAACUUGAAUUGUAUUCCCUUGUUUUGCAGGUGGGCGCCUGAUUUCCAAAACUUGAAAUGUAUUCCCUUGUUCUCCAGGUGGGCGCCUGAUUGCUAAAACUUGAACAGUAUUCCCUUGUUCUCCAAGUUGGCGCCUGAUUGCUAAAACUUGAACUGUAUUCUCUUAUUUUCCAGGUGGGUGCCUGAUUGCCGAAACUCGAACUGUAUUUCCUUGUUCUCAAGGUUGUGCUUGAUUGCCAAAACUUGAAUCUGUAUUCCUUUAUUUUCUAGGUGGGCGCCUGAUUGCUUAAACUUCAACUGUAUUUACUUGUUCUCCUGGUGGGCGCAUGAUUGCUAAAACAUGAACUAUCUUCCCUUGUACUCCAGGUGGGUGCCUGAUUGCUAAAACUUGAACUAUAUUCCCUUUAUUUCCAGGUGGGUACCUGAUUACUAAAACUUUAAUUGUACUCCCUUAUUUUCCAGGCGGGCGCCUAAUUUCAAAAACAUUAAAUGUAUUCCCUUGUUCUCCAGGUGUGCACCUGAUUGGCGAAACUUGGACUGUAUUCCCUUGUUCUCCAGGUGGGCGCCUGACUGCUAAAACUUGAACUAUUUUUCCUUGUUUUCCAGGUGGGCACCUGAUUUCCAAAACAUGAAAUGUAUUCCCUAGUUCUCCAGAUGGGCGCCUGAUUACUGAAUCUUAGACUUUAUUCCCUUGUUCUCCAGGUGGGAGCCUGAUUGCCAAAACUUUAACUGUAUUCCCUUGUUUUCCAAGUGGGUACCUGAAUGGCAAAACUUUAUUUGUAUUCCCUUGAUCUCUAGGUGGUCGCCUGAUUGCCAAAACUUGAUUAGGAUUCCCUUGUUCUCCAGGUGGGCACCUAUUUCCUAAAUCUUGGACUAUAUUCCCUUGUUCUCGAGGUGGGUGCCUGAUUGCAAAAACUUGAACUGUAUUCCCUUGUUCUCCAGGUGGGCGUCUGGUUGCUAAAAUGUGAACUGUAUUCCCUUGUUCUCCAAGUGGGCGCUUGAUU